rnacentral:tmRNA from 1 species
GGGGGCGCACUGGUUUCGACGGGGAUAUGGAAUCAGGAGUAGCGAGUCGUUGUCGCCAAGCAACGUAAAAAGUGGCAAAAAAAAUAAACGACAACAAUAAUUACGCUUUAGCAGCUUAAUUAAGCUGCUCGUCUUGUCUGGGAAUCCUGCGACCUAGAUAAAGACGUCAACUUAGCAGGGAACCGAGCUUAGCAAAGCUUUGAGCUAAGAACGGAAUCUAUGAAGCUACUGAAGCCUGAACCUUGUCAGUAGGGGUCAGGUUGAGGGAAUGUCAAAAUACUGACUGCACUCGGAGAAGCUCUUGUGGAAGUGUUUUCGGACGUGGGUUCGAUUCCCACCGCCUCCACCA